rnacentral:lncRNA from 10 species
UUGUGUUACUGCAUUGCAAUCUGGUCUUUUGUCUCUUCUUAGUUGACACUGUUAAAUUUAAUUUGCAUAAAGUUUUUGUUUUGACAGAUGGUGUCAGAAGUGGGAUUCAAAGUAGAACUUCCAACAACUUCCAGGCACAUGGAGUUAUCAAAAGAGGUACAUACCAAGCCCAUUAUGUCCAUUGCUCUCUUACAGCAACUAGAGAUUGUAGUUCUUUACUAGCAAUUAUAAUCUUGAAGAGUUGAGUCUUCCAAAAGGUUCAUGGAAAGUUUGGGAAGGACCAUGACAAGUACUAUUGAAUACAGAUUUCUGAUAACUUUAGGUUCAUCUCAUUUGGACUUGGUAAGAAUUUCCAGAACUCUAAUGAAGAGGCUGACUCAUUUACAAAACUACUACCCCAAGCAGAAAAAGAAUUAAUUAAAUACAAGGGAAUUCUUUGGCAGAUUUUCAUGCUAAUUCAACCAGUACUGAAAUUGUUAAGAUAUGCAAUUUGCAUGAACUCCAUGAUCCAAGUCACAUAACCUAUGAUAACCCACUUAAUAAACAAUGUUGUACACCUGAAUUGGAGAAACAAAAAUUGUAUUUAGGAGGAUUUAAAUUCAGUGUCAAGCAUGCACUCAUGGAGAGCCUGGAUGGCCAUCUGGUCAUCCUUUCUGCAUCCUUAAAAUUUCCACUAUUAAAAGCUUUGCAUUCCAUGACACAUCAUAGAAGAGAGAAAAUAAUCCAAAUUUUGAAAAAGAAAUGUUGGUGUGGUGACUAUUUUAAGUUGCCAAAAUGGUUUAUGAGCACGUUUGUUUUCUCAAACACAUAAUCCAGGGAAGACAAUCAAACUUCAGGUACAUUUCCACUGCUGAAUGGGCAGUUUGAACAUUUAUGGAGGGAUAUCAUUCAAUUGCCAUUUUUAAUGCAUGUUUUCUGGCUUCACAAAAGCUUUCCCAUGUAGGAAAGUUAGUGGUACAACAGUAGCUAAAAAUUUAUAGGAAAAUGUAUUUCCCUAAUGGGACAUUCUUCAGUGAUCACAGUACUUGUUUCACUGGAAAAAUUGUAAAAGAGUUAAAUGAGUUAUUACAGACACUAUAGCAUUAAGCAAAUAUAACUGAAUUGACUGUAUUGCCUUGGUCAAAGAUAUUGCAGAUGGAAGACAAUCUGAUUCACUUCCAGUGGAAAGCAUAAAUUAACCCCUUAUUAAAUAGUCACUAGAAGGCCUAUACUCCUAAUAGUAGAUCCUCAUGUAUCUCCCACUCUCCUAUACACUGAUAUGACUAAAUGUUGCAAGGUUUUAAUGCAUUAUGCCAAAGUAUAUUUUCAACAGGUGAAGGAAUCUUUUCAUGCUCCACCUACUAAGGACAAUUGAACCCUUCAUAAUCUAGAACCUGGAUGCUGGAUCUUCUGGAAAUGGCAUCAGAGAAAGAUUGCCCUUGCCACCCAUAUGGCAAUGAGACUUUGGAACUUCAAAACUUGGGUUCAUAAUCUUACAAAACAGAAGGACCUUUUAGACUCUUGGAACUGUACACUCCUUCAAGACCUUAAGGUAAAGCUAAAUAGGGAAGUUUCUCUUCAAAAGCAGAUGGCAUCCUAGACAUACACAGCUUUCCCAAGAUCACAGAUCAAGACUCCUCUGCCAUCAUGAAACUCUUAGCUCUCUUAAUCUUUUACUUGCUUAUGCCUCUAUGAACAAUAGAACUUGAAAACGGGCCUUGUGUCCACCCACAGGGUGUACUUUCUUAUAGAGGAUUUUUCAGCCAGUCUUAUACAUGGGUAAUCUUAAGCCUUGAUGAAUGGAAGAUGAAGUGUCAAUGUAGGUGGGAAAUUUUAAUAGUAACUUUAUUACUCCAUAAUCAGUCAGACACCAUAAUCAAUCAGAAACAGAAAGUUGGCCCACACCUGUUAAACUACAUCAUAGGUUAAAAAGAACAUUUCCAGAUGGCUUCACUCUUCUGGAUGUGUAUCAUUUGUUAGGUCCUUUUUUCCAUUGCUUGGAGUAACUACAAAUAAGGCAAUAAUUAGAAAUUUAUCCCUCCUAAGAGGCUCCAUAGCAGGUUCUACUACAAAGAUUAUGGUUGUACAACAGACUUGUUAAAAUUAUUUUGCUGAAGUUGAGUUAUAAUAGAAUUGCUCUAGAUUACCUACUCGCUGAACAGGGAGGAAUAUGUGCAGUUGCUGACACUUACUCCAUAUGGUUGAAUAUAUCAGAUAUUAUAGAGACUCAGUUGCAGAGGAUUAACCAAUAGGCUCUCUGGUUAAAAUGUGUAGACUCUUCAUUCAGCUCAUUCUUUGAAUCAUUUUAUUUUGAUUGGUUCGAUUUAUAGAGACCCUGGGUAGGGAAUAUACUUCAAACUAUUGUUGUUAUUCUCCUACUAAUCACAGUAAUAGUCUCCCUGGUGUUUUAUAUUCUCUCAAAAGUUUUAAAUGUUUGUAUGCAGCCAUCUGUAGAAUACCAAAUGAUCUCUUUGACUGGAAUAACCCAAACUUAAAUGCAUGAUUAUGUGGACACCAUAACCUAUGAAUGACAUGUUGAGACUGGAAUCCCAAAAUUAUGGUAACUGAGAGUAGUACUGAAGCUCUAGAUUUUUGUCAUACUCUCACAUAGGUAAAAACUUGACCUAAAGAGGGGAUUAUUAAACAAAAUUAUGAGAGGCCGUUGUUUGGGAUUGAGCUCCUUCACUAGACCCCAAAAAAUAAAGCAAACUG